rnacentral:rRNA from 1 species
AAUGAACGCUGGCGGCGCGCCUAAUACAUGCAAGUCGAGCGAGAAGACGUAGCAAUACGUUUGUAAAGCGGCGAACGGGUGAGGAAUACAUGGGUAACCUACCCUCGAGUGGGGAAUAACUAGCCGAAAGGUUAGCUAAUACCGCGUACGCUUCUUGGACUUCGGUUCAGGGAGGAAAGCGAUACCGUGGGGUAUCGCGCUCUUGGAUGGGCUCAUGUCCUAUCAGCUUGUUGGGAGGUAACGGCUCACCAAGGCUUCGACGGGUAGCUGGUCUGAGAGGACGAUCAGCCACACUGGCACUGCGACACGGGCCAGACUCCUACGGGAGGCAGCAGUAAGGGAAUAUUGCGCAAUGGGCGAAAGCCUGACGCAGCGACGCCGCGUGGGGGA